CCGUCGUUCACCUCGGACAGCUGCGCAAUUAAGUCUCAGAGAGUCGAGGCAGGUCUCACGGAGACCAAAGGGUCCCUCCGUGCUCCCCAGUGAGUAAAAACUCAGGGCUCAGGUUCACGGUCGUUAGAGUAAAUACAGGGGCACGGGGAGCAGGGACUGGCUUAUGGAGAAGUGGAGGGGCUUAAGGCCCCUGGGGCGGGGAGUAGGGGGGUUGUCCAGGGAUGGCGGUAGAGUCCAUCACUGCAUUAAGGGCCUGGCUGUGUGGGACUGUGGCUAGUGGUAGAGUCCAUCACUGCAUUAAAGGCCUGGCUGUGUGGGACUGUGGCUAGUGGUAGAGUCCAUCACUGCAUUAAGGCCUGGCUGUGUGGGACUGUGGCUAAGUCCAUCACUGCAUUAAGGGCCUGGCUGUGUGGGACUGUGGUAGAGUCCAUCACUGGCUGUGUGGGACUGUGGCUAGUUGGGUGUCAGCCUGGGAGGGAAAGGUUACUAAUCCACUCAGUUAGGGGGGACGGGCUCGUAACCUGGAAAUGGACAGAUGAAAGAAGAGGAGAGAGAAAGAAAAAAAAAAACGAGGACAGGGCCACCUCCUGACCCCAUAAGAGGGAGGAAGAGAGGAUCAGGCAGCCAAAUGACAGAGGAGGGAGAGACGGAGGGAGAGACGGAGGGAGGGGGGCAGAGUUUGGAGAAACGCUGAAAUGGCAAGACAUCACUCAAAGAUAGUGCUGGUGGUUGGGGUGGG
ensembl:lncRNA